ACAAGCUAGUUUUCUAAGAAAGUAGUUAAAGUGAGUUUAACUUUUAUAUGAGUGAAAAAGUGCAGAAAGUCCCGCUGAUGCUGUUACCAAAGCUACGUAGUGGUGAUAUAACUCCCUUUUAUUAUUCUGACUAUAAUUUUACUAACGAUGAUGCCAAAUUCUGUUUAAUAACUUGUGUUUAAAAUGGCCGGCCGGCAAUGCGACUUGUAAAGAUAGAUGAGUACUCUUUAGGGGGCAUCAAUAAGUAAUGCCCACAAUUGAAGACGUUGUCUGUAUGCAUAGCUUGCAAUUGUAGAAGCCUUCCUUGGCUACCGUUGUCCAAAUGAGUAGCGAAAUCGAAGAAGUAUUUCCUGGCCAGGUUGCAUCUAAGAGUAUGGUGCACCAAAUGUAGAGGCUUUCUUGGCCAUGUAAGUGCUGGCGUGCACACUGUUAUGAGAGGCUUUCUUGGCCAUGUAAGUGCUGGCGUGCACACUGUUAUAAGAGGCUUUCUUGGCCAUGUAAGUGCUGGCGUGCACACUGUUAUAAGAGGCUUUCUUGGCCACGUAAGUGCUGGCGUGCACACCGUUGAAGAGGUCUUCCUUGACCACCUAAGUGCUGGCGUGCACACUGUUAUAAGAGGCUUUCUUGGCCACCCAAGUGCUGGCGGGCACACUGAUGAAUAGGGCCCUCUUGGCCACCCAAGUGCUGGCAUGCACACUAAUGAAUAAGUCUUACUCGGCUAACUAAGUGCUGAUAAGCACACCAUUGAAAGGGUCAUGUAUAAGAGGGCAAUUAACUGACAUAAAGUAAUACCUGAGAGUAACUAAUAAGAUCACAUACGCUGGUGUUCAGCCAGAGUCAUUAAGAGAGAUAAGCUUACAUUCUGCAGGGUGAUGUGUCACCAAGUAGGUGGUAGUUGUAUCACCAAUCAGUAGUUCAUUUAUGUUUCUUAAACUUACAGAUGGAGAAGUAAUCCGUAUCCAUGAGGUGAAAGGAAAGGUGUAAGGAAAGCCAUAUUGAGGAUCUGAUCACUGACAUAGGAACCUAUGAGUGAGUAAGAGUUACAUCCUAUCUACACAUACUGACUGGUAUUCGCGACGUCAGUCUAGUAUGUGUGCAUUCACAUCCCUACAAUAGAUUCAUAAUUCUUUUAUUAUAUACAUAAUUAUAGAUAGAGAUAUAUCGUCCCUUAGCUUACAACACCGCUUAAGUCAUUUUUACCAACUUUACAGGAGACGAAAUAAAAUGUCUUAUUUAAAAUAUCUGUAGAUUUUUUUAUUGCUACUUAAUACAUACUCUAGUUAGCGGUUAAUAAAUAAUUAUUUAUACUUAUUUUGACGAUUUACUUUAUUUUAACCUUUAUUUUCUUCAUCCAAUGGCAUUAAUAUGUAAAAACCGCCAAUUUUCGACUUGAGCGGUGUUGUAAGCUAAGGGACGAUAUAUA